AUGGCGCCUGUGGUGACCGCCGCACUCGGCGCGCUGGGUCCUCUGCUGGGGAAGCUCGCCGAUUUGCUCGCCAAUGAGUGCGGCCGCCUCAAAAGGGUCCGCCGCGAGAUCCGCUCCCUCCGGACAGAGUUUACCAGCAUGCAUGCUGCUCUACAGAGAUACGCCAUGCUAGAGGACCCUGAUCACCAGGUGAAGCAAUGGGUAUCGCUGGUGAGGGAGUUGGCCUAUGAUACCGAGGAUCUUUUCGACAAGUUCAUUCGCCACCUCGGCAACGGUGAGAGUCAUGAUGGCGGCUUCAAGGAGUACUUCCGCAAGACUGCUCGGCGUCUGAAGACGCUUGGAGCUCGGCAUGGGAUCGCCAGCCAAAUCGACGACCUGAAGCUUCGUAUCAAGGAAGUGAAAGAGCUCAAGACUAGUUACAAGCUGGAUGAUACUGCUUCUAGCACCCAGGGCCAUGCAACCGUGGAUCCCAGGUUGGCCGCUCUUUUUGCGGAGGAGGCACACCUUGUUGGCAUUGACGGUCCAAGAGAUGAUCUUGCCAAGUGGAUGCUGGAAGAAGAAAACAAACAUCAUCGCAGGGUGCUGUCUAUUGUUGGAUUCGGUGGAUUGGGAAAGACAACAUUGGCGAAUGAAGUCUAUCGCAAGAUUCAGGGGCAUUUUGAUUGUCAUGCUAUUGUGUCGGUCUCACAAAAGCCAGAUACAAAGAAAAUCAUCAAUGAUUUGAUCUCGCAGGUGUCUCGCAAGGAUGAAUUCACAAAAGAUAUGGAGAGCUGGGAUGAAAAGAAAUCCAUUGGAAAGCUAAGAGAACUAUUACAAGAUAAAAGGUAUCUUGUCAUCAUUGAUGAUAUAUGGUCUACAUUAGCAUGGAAAGCAAUCAAUUGUGCUUUUCCAGAGAUUAAUUCUUCAAGCAGAAUUAUAACUACAACACGCAUAUUGGAAGUAGCAAGUUUUUGUUGUCCUGCUCGUGAUGACCAGAUCUAUCAAAUGAAACCUCUAAGUGACAUCCACUCUGAAAGACUAUUUUUUAACAGAAUUUUUGGUUCAGAAGAGCGCUGCCCUUAUAUGCUUAUUGAAGUUUCAAAAGCUAUCUUGAAGAAGUGUGGAGGCCUACCAUUGGCAAUUAUCAGUAUUUCUGGUUUACUAGCAAACAGACCACGUGUCAAAGAAGAGUGGGAGAAGGUAAAAAGAUCAAUUGGUUCUGACUUGAACGGAAGCCAAAGUCUAGAAGGAAUGAAGAACAUACUAUCCUUGAGCUAUAAUGAUCUUCCACCAAACCUCAAGACUGUCUUGUUGCACUUAAGUAAUUUCCCCGAGGAUUAUCUGAUUGACAGAGAAAGGUUGGCGAGGCAAUGGAUUGCGGAAGGCUUUAUUUCUGAAGAGCGUGGGAGGAGCUAUCAAGAGGUUGCAGAAAGUUAUUUUUACGAGCUUAUCAAUAAAAGCCUUGUCCAACCAGUGGACAUUGGUUAUGAUGGGAUGGUUCAUGCCUGUCGAGUUCAUGACAUGAUGCUUGAACUUAUCAUUUCAAAAUCCAUUGAAGAAAAUUUCAUCACUGUGGUGAACGGCAGUCAAACUGUUUGGGAAAGUUCUCAAUGUUCUGUUCGACGAUUAUCGAUCCAGGACAUUGACCAGGAGCUUGCAUCUGAAUUGUCAAAGAAAGAUCUAAGGCAUGUCCGAUCUCUUAUAAAAACAUCAUUAGGAUGCAUCAAGCACUUGCCUAGUCUUGCUAAGUUUGAAGCUUUACAUGUACUAGAUUUUGGAGGUUGUCGAGGCCUGACGGAGUAUGAUAUGGAUGGUAUAGAAAACCUGUUCCAGCUAAAGUACCUAAGCUUUAGAAGAACGGACAUAUCGGAGCUACCAUCUGGAAUUGUGAUGCUACAUGAUCUAGAGACGCUAGAUUUAAGGGGUACAUCAAUCGAACACUUACCAGCUACAAUUGUUCAGCUCACUAAACUACAACAUCUACUCUGUGGCAAUCAUUUAUGGAAGAUACCAAUUGGGAUUGGGAAUAUGACAACCUUAAAGGAGAUCUCAGGCUUUGAUAUUACCAUGAGUUCAGUAGGUGCAGUGAAGGAGCUAGGGAGCCUGAUCAAUUUGAAGGUACUCCAUGUACGGUUCACGGUGAAAGAUGAAGAAUCUCAAGAGUACAAGAUUCAUGCAGAGAUGUUUCAUUCCUCACUAUGCAAGCUUGGCAGCCACAAACUGCAGUCCAUGCGGAUAGAUGGUGGUAAUUCGUCUCUAUUCAAGUUAUUAGAUUCCUGGUCUCCUCUUCCAUCUUGCCUCCAAAGAUUUGAGAUGGGAUCCCCGUACAGUUUAUCAAAACUGCCAAAGUGGAUUACUCCAGCGCUCACCAGGCUUGCAUGCCUGAACAUUAAUUUAAGUGUAAUAACAGAGGAGGUUCUUGGCAUACUUGGAGAGCUGCCUGCAUUACUUUCUCUGACACUUUAUACUGACACGGUCCAUAAAGACAGGCUAGUUUUGAAAGGCACAGGAUGCCGAUGUUUGAAGGAGUUCUUUUAUGAACCUUUUGGUGAAGGUGCAGUGACCCUUCUGUUUGAGGAAGGGGCACUGCCAAAGCUCGAGAUGCUUCAGCUGUGUUUUUCUGUAUCAAUGGCAAAGGCCUAUGGAUUCUACUUAGGUAUUGAGCACCUCCCAUAUCUGAAAGAUGUACACGUGAUUCUUGACAAUUGGGAUGCCACAUCUUCUGAAGUUGAGGCUGCAAAAGUUGCCAUAAGAGCAUCUCCAACAGCCGCGCUAAAGCGCCGUGCGCAAAAAACCUGUUAG
rnacentral:rRNA from 1 species